UGGGGAAUUUUGGACAAUGGGGGAAACCCUGAUCCAGCCAUCCCGCGUGUGCGAUGAAGGCCUUCGGGUUGUAAAGCACUUUUGGCAGGAAAGAAACGUCAUGGGUUAAUACCCCGUGAAACUGACGGUACCUGCAGAAUAAGCACCGGCUAACUACGUGCCAGCAGCCGCGGUAAUACGUAGGGUGCAAGCGUUAAUCGGAAUUACUGGGCGUAAAGCGUGCGCAGGCGGUUCGGAAAGAAAGAUGUGAAAUCCCAGAGCUCAACUUUGGAACUCCAUUUUUAACUACCGGGCUAGAGUGUGUCAGAGGGAGGUGGAAGUCCGCGUGUAGCAGUGAAAUGCGUAGAUAUGCGGUGGAACACCGAUGGCGAAGGCAGCCUCCUGAGAUAACUCUGACGCUCAUGCACGAAAGCGUGGGGAGCAAACAGG
rnacentral:rRNA from 1 species